rnacentral:lncRNA from 1 species
UCUUAAUAUGAAUGCAGGCAAAGGAAUCCCAAAUCCAAAUGCCAGAAACACUCAUAGUUAUCUAUCUAACACAUUCUUCCUUACCCACCAAGCAUAGGUAACAGGCACCAAGUAAGUCAUUAACAACCACUAUCAUUAAAUUCUUUUUCAAAUGUGAGUCAAAAAGAACCUUGGAUUUCUUGUUCAACACGAGCAAAUUUCAAUUAAUUCAACCUCUCUGAAUCAAGGUAUAAUUUUUAAAAGAUGCAUUUACUUUGAUCCUUUGAUUCACUAAUUACCCAAGUGAUGAUCAGAGCAAAUGAAUUCUGACCUAGUUCUGAUUCUGGUUCACUAUACAACCAAAAGGAACAAUUCUGUUUCUCAGUCUUUAAACAGCUGUGCACAAACAACUAGUUUCAUUUAAAAGGUGGAAAGCUGUGCUCUAUCAGCUACAGUACCCAUAAUAUAUUAUCAAAAACUCAAUU